AAUGAUCAUCUAGUCAUUAGCUUAAAAAAUGUCUUCUCUUGAAUAAAAUUUGUUAACCUUCAUGUUAUGCAAAUACAUACAUCUUUCACGAGUGUGAAACCAUUUUUCACAUGUCACAUCAACAUUCUCAUGAAUUAAUUCUCAUGUUUAGAGAUGUGUGUAAGUACUCCAAAAUGGUAAUGGUGUACAUCAUUAGUUUGAUUUUUUUAAGAUGUGAACACAAAAUCUCACAUUGAUGAAGGAGAUAUCUUUGCUGCAGGCACAAUUGUUUGAGAGAUAUUGUCUUCUUUCCUAGGUUUAAGGUUUCCAAAAACAAGGAAAUCAAUUAUGAUUCUCCAUAUUUUCGAAAUAUACCCAUUAAGUAAUUCGUUUGUUUAUAUUGUAUACCCUUUUUUCUUUUUGUGAAAUUGAAAGAGAGAGAGAGAGAGAGAGAGAGAGAGAGAGAGAGAGAUACAAUUAUAUGGUCUGCGGGACGUAGUAUGAACGGAUUGAUUUCAUGCUUAUUUUUAG
rnacentral:lncRNA from 1 species